GCCCCUUUAGCUCAAUUGGUAGAGCAAUCCCUUCGUAAGGGAGAGGUUAUCGGUUCAAUUCCGGUAAGGGGCU
rnacentral:tRNA from 5 species